rnacentral:rRNA from 1 species
AGACCCGAAACCCGGUGAUCUAGCCAUGGGCAGGUUGAAGGUUGGGUAACACUAACUGGAGGACCGAACCGACUAAUGUUGAAAAAUUAGCGGAUGACUUGUGGCUGGGGGUGAAAGGCCAAUCAAACCGGGAGAUAGCUGGUUCUCCCCGAAAGCUAUUUAGGUAGCGCCUCGUGAAUUCAUCUCCGGGGGUAGAGCACUGUUUCGGCAAGGGGGUCAUCCCGACUUACCAACCCGAUGCAAACUGCGAAUACCGGAGAAUGUUAUCACGGGAGACACACGGCGGGUGCUAACGUCCGUCGUGAAGAGGGAAACAACCCAGACCGCCAGCUAAGGUCCCAAAGUCAUGGUUAAGUGGGAAACGAUGUGGGAAGGCCCAGACAGCCAGGAUGUUGGCUUAGAAGCAGCCAUCAUUUAAAGAAAGCGUAAUAGCUC